rnacentral:rRNA from 1 species
UACGAAGGGUGCUAGCGUUGUUCGGAAUCAUUGGGCGUAAAGCGAGUGUAGGCUGCUUAUUAAGUCGGGUGUGAAAUCCCUCGGCUCAACCGAGGAAGUGCAUCCGAAACUGGUAAGCUAGAAGACGGUAGAGGAAGGUGGAAUUCCAAGUGUAGAGGUGAAAUUCGUAGAUAUUUGGAGGAAUACCUGUGGCGAAGGCGGCCUUCUGGGCCGUUCUUGACGCUGAGACUCGAAAGCGUGGGUAGCAAACAGG